rnacentral:ncRNA from 2 species
UUUAAUAGUAUGGGGAGCUGGGGAUGCUGGCUGAGAGGGAUAUCACGUAUCCGACCCUUAAAACUGAUCUGGGUAAUGCCAGCGUAGUAAUAAUAAAAAACUUUAAU